UACGAAGGGGGCUAGCGUUGCUCGGAAUGACUGGGCGUAAAGCGCGCGCAGGCGGCCUCGCGCGCCCGACGUGAAAGCCCCCGGCUUAACCGGGGAGGGUCGUUGGGGACGGCGGGGCUUGAGGGCGGGAGAGGGUGGUGGAAUUCCCGGUGUAGUGGUGAAAUUCGUAGAUAUCGGGAGGAACACCAGUGGCGAAGGCGGCGAUCUGGGUGGAUACUGACGCUGAGGUGCGAAAGCGUGGGGAGCAAACAGG
rnacentral:rRNA from 1 species